GCCUUCGUGGUGAAGUGGUCAGCAUGCUCGACGCGUAUUCUAGAGGUCCGUGGUUCGAAUCCCGGCGAGGGCA
rnacentral:tRNA from 1 species